AAGUAAAUAGAAAUGAUUUCUUUUAUAUUAUAAAUUGAUCAAAAAAAUUUCUAGUUAUUUGUCAAAUGCAAAAGAGGAAAAAAUAUGGCUGAAUUUAUCAACUUUGUUAGUGUUAUCAUUCUCUUGAUUUCCCUAUUUUUUGUCAUAGUCAAUGGUGAAUUUGAAAAUUACUGCACUAAAGAUAGUGAUUGUGAGUCUUACUGUCCCAAUCCAAAAUAUGGGAAGUGCUUGGACAAUAAAUGUAUAUGCCAGUUAAUAUGGAUGGGGUAUGGUUAAGAUUUAAGAUGGAAAUGAUAGCCUUUUCUUGGCAAUUACUAUCGGAUUCUACUCACCAAAAUUUGCUUAGGAAAAAGCUUCUUUUAUUUUAUUUUUUAAAAUAUUUCAGUGGUACUUCAUCUGUAUUUUUAUUUUUUUUUAUUCCUGGUGAAGUGAAGUGUCAUCUGGAAUUUUUCUUUUCAGGUGCCACGGUAAGAAAAAUGGUUUUUGGUAAGAACUUAUGUCAUUGAGAAAAAUACAAUGUUGUUGUAAAAUAUCGGUCCCUAUUUAUAAGAUUCUUUUAAUAAAUUCACGGGAGUCAAUAAAAUUUAUAUUUGUAUUAAA